rnacentral:rRNA from 1 species
UUUUGGACAAUGGGGGCAACCCUGAUCCAGCCAUGCCGCGUGAGUGAAGAAGGCCUUCGGGUUGUAAAGCUCUUUCGGCUGGGAAGAAAUCGCAUCUCCUAAUACGGGGUGUGGAUGACGGUACCAGCCUAAGAAGCACCGGCUAACUACGUGCCAGCAGCCGCGGUAAUACGUAGGGUGCGAGCGUUAAUCGGAAUUACUGGGCGUAAAGCGUGCGCAGGCGGUUUCGUAAGACAGACGUGAAAUCCCCGGGCUCAACCUGGGAACUGCGUUUGUGACUGCGAGGCUAGAGUUUGGCAGAGGGGGGUGGAAUUCCACGUGUAGCAGUGAAAUGCGUAGAGAUGUGGAGGAACACCGAUGGCGAAGGCAGCCCCCUGGGCCAAUACUGACGCUCAUGCACGAAAGCGUGGGGAGCAAACAGG